GGGGAUGAUCGGUUUCGACAUCGCCUGAGCUCCUGCGAGAAGCGGGCCGAGGAUGCAGGGUUAUCUCGUAAACGAUCCUUGCAAAAAGAUAACUGCCGAAAAGCAGAAGUCUGCCUUCGCCCUCGCUGCAUAAGCGAGCCUGAAGGCCGUCAGACCGUAGGCGUUCCCGCUACGGACCCUGGCGUCAUCUAGGGAACUUGCUGCGUGACGGCGUCUGGACGUCACGUGGGACUCUUCCCAGGCUGGGCCUGUCGACCUGGAUGCCUGUGGCAAAGGUCGGGGCCGAGCAGAACGUCAGCACAGGCUACGCCCGUAGAAGGCGCAGAGACACAGCGAUGGACGGGGGUUCGAUUCCCCCCAUCUCCACCA
rnacentral:tmRNA from 1 species